rfam:Clostridium sp. CAG:510 genomic scaffold, scf47
GUGUCCGUAGCUCAGUUGGAUAGAGCAACGGCCUUCUAAGCCGUGGGUCGGGGGUUCGAAUCCCUUCGGGCACA